rnacentral:rRNA from 1 species
AGAAAGACGCAGCAAAAUACGAAACGUUGUUCGAAGUUGAUUUCGACAACAACACCGAGUUUCUCGACGCAAACAGCGCGGUCG